UCGACAUGCAGAACUGCCGAAUGCUUCACGCAAGUUAACGCUGAAGACGACGUAAUCAGAGCUGGUGUUUGAAAAUAUUGCAACAAAGUUGUUCAGAUUUUCAUAAAAGAAAAAAACGACAAAUGGAUCCCAAAUCUUGCAGGUAUCAAGACUCACAGGAAACAAUGCAAACCAUGUCAGGAGUAUUCGAAUACGUACUAUAAAUGCACGUCCAUGAGCAUGCCUCGAGUCGAGUCCGUGACGGAUCCUAAUGAAUGGCCUGAAUGGUUUACCAAUUUUGCCACCGACAUUUCACAUCAGCAGGCUCGAUUUUUUUUGCCAGUUCCUGUUGAAAUAACGGACAAAAAGUUUGCUGUAUGCAAGGAAUGUAACCGCGACGUUCUGGUGUACGAGCGCAAAGGUGAAAAGUAGAUGUAUAAGGUCAACAAUUUUUACGAGCACAAGGAAAAAUGCCCCCCCGUCAAAGCGGUCAUUGACGUAAGAUUUAACAAUAAUGUUUGCAAAUCUCUCCAAGAACCGCAAUAAAGCGAGCAAAUGUGUCGUGCUUCUUGAAGACUGCCGAAACAGCGAUUGACU